rnacentral:lncRNA from 1 species
CCCCCACCCCCCGGGGAAGCCAGCCCGGUUCGGGGUUUCUGCCGCCGGGCGGGCUUCGGGCCUUGCGGGAAGGCAGCCCUGGAGGCCGCGGGGUCUCGGGCGCGCUCGGAGCUGGCACUCGGUUGGUUGGUGUGACUGCAACGCUUCUGGCUGCGAAGUAUGAAGAGAUCUACCCACCGAGUAUUGGAUUUUGUUUACAUAACUGACACUGAUUCAAGUCCACUCAGAUUCAGGAAAUGGAGCAGAGUAUCCUGAAAGAGCUGAAUUUUGGGCUGGGCUGGCCUGGCCUUUACCAUUCCACUCCCUGAGGAGAGUAGCCAAGAUAUAUGAGAUGCAGUUCUGGAGCCACAAAGUUGCCUUGAACUCCAGUCCCAAAGUGCAGGGAGACCCCCCUCCCACAGAGUCCUGCACCACAGGAAUUGUAGUCUCUAUUUUUAUUGAUGGGAGGAAAGCAAUUAAACCAACAUGCAGAAGGCCCACAGCAGCACAGACCAGCUUUGGAAACUUCCACCAUGACCCGUGUUCCUAUGAUGAAGUACCUGGGCCCCACAUGACAUCCCAGCCGCUGAGCUAGGGUGCACCUUAGUACAGCUUUGCCUCUGACUCGCUUCCUUGAAGGCAAAGGGGGAGAGGGGAGGUAAUGCACAGAUACAGUCGUCGUAAAAGUCAGUGUGGGCCGGCCACAUGAACGGAGCAAGACGAACUAUUUGCAGCAUAGAAUACUGUUUUCCUUUGGUCCUGGUGCCUUUCUGGAGUCACAAGCACCCCUAGACAAGACCAGAGGGGAAGAAGAGAACUAGCAGCAGGGCCUGUUUCCCCUGUGAAGCUGCCCACUGAGGAUAGUGUGUGCACAGAAUAUGCCAUUGCUGUGUUAGAUAAUCUGGAAGAAACAGCAGAGCAACUAAAGGCACUUGGAAAAGGAAACCCCAAAACCUGCCCUCCAUCAUUCUUCCUCUGUCACAGAGCACCUGAUGGUUUCCAGAACUGGGUUUUUAAAAUAAAAUAAAAUAAGGGGAAUGUAAUUUGAACA